rnacentral:miRNA from 2 species
AUGUGGAUGACGUUCAUGUCCA